rnacentral:lncRNA from 1 species
CCUCGAAUAUUGAAAUAUAGCGCGACACGUAGGAACACGAGACACAGUAGAAAAAGUGAAGAAACUCGAGAAAACUCGGGAGGGAGGGAUUCACGGGGCACCGUGUGUCUCGGUUAUUCAUAUUUUAUUCGGUCUCGACCCGGUCGGGUCGUGGGCCGCUCUGGGUUCUCGGCACUCGGGGCGGUCGGUAUAUUUCUAAAAAUAGUGGUGCAUCGAAUAACGAGCCGGCCGCGCGCCGCGAACAGUUGAAGUUUGCAUUGUGAACGCGUACAGUCCUGUAUACUGUACUGCUCUACUCCCAUGUAACCGAAGAUUUGACCCAAUGACCCAACGGACGGAGCCGAAACUAGGCGGAAACGGCCGAUCUCCUGUUUCGCCCGUCUCUCACUCUGUCUCUUGCGCACCCACCGGCGACCGCCUCUCUCUCUCUCUCGCUUCUCUGCGCUGUUUUACACUCGUAUUUUUCUUCCUUUCGUUCACCUUUGUACUCGAGUCGAAGUUAAGCUAAUCCACCGUUAAACAAGUAAACUGAGAACACGGCGCAGAAUGUCUCUAUUCUCCAUCGAAUGACGAAAAGCAAAGAAGCAAUAAAGGAGAAGACAAAGCGUCUCUAAGGUGGCUCGACCGUCUAAAAGCAACUAUUCUACACGUUUUUCAAGAAUUAGGUAGCCGUCCCUAUGGGUUUUGUCCGCGGGCAAAGAAAGCAUCGAAGUAAAGAGAAUGGAUGAUAUCGCAGGAGCAACUCGUACGAUCAGCCCGCAAGUAACCCGAGAUAAGAAUAAGAACCGUCCAGAGAAUUGGUGAAAUUAUACGAUUUUUUUUUUUCUCCUACGAUAUAUGGAUUUCGAAGGAACGUUAAUCCUUCUCCAUAAAUUUAUUUCUCCAACGUUCGAUCUCCCAAUCCUUUUCUUAAUUUUUUUUCCAUUGCAUCUCCAGAUAGAAUCCGACUGUUCGCGACACGAAUCUCGACCGAUUGUGAAAUCCAAAUUAUCCAAAGUGACGAAAUGAGAAAGAAUUUUAAAUCAGCAGCGAAUAUACAGAGAGAGAGCAGAGAUAUAUUUCGGGAGCAAACCGUCAGAGUGAAGUUGAGACAACGGUUUCCCAUUUUCCGAUCGGUGUUCCCCUCCUCUGUCGUCGACACUUCCGGGGGAUCAGCUUGUCGCUGGGAGGAGUGCCAGAGCGCUGCUCGAUGAGAAGAAAGGCGAAGGAAAAGGGCAAAGACCGUGGCGGGAAAGAGGUCACCCGGAUUUCGAGCGGGCUUUGCCUCACCAGAGAAAACCGGAGUCGUGUCUCAAGGUGGCCCAUCGUUUUUCGCAAGGGGAGUUUUUGGCACCACGGUCGCCCUCCUUUGCCCACUCGGAAUGAUCGAUCGAUCCAAAACUAUGCUUUUAUCGCUACGAUUUUAGUCGAUAAGGAUAGAGAGAACAAAUGUGUAAUUGCUUCAAAGGAUACUAUUCUUAUAUAUAUGAUCACUUUCUGGCCGACCCAUCGCCCUGCCUCGUCCACCACUUUACAAUUUACCUUGGAAAAAGAGGCUGUUCAACUUAAUUGAAUUCACGCCCUACGAGUAUAACGCGAGGAGCAAUUAAAAGAGCGAUGAAGUAGCCCUUCGGGGGAAGCACUCUGAAAAAUAACGUUCAUUUUGCUCGAAGAAAUCAUCUUCGCUUAUCCGGGAGAUGGCGAUUCCACGAUAAUGAAAGCUCGAGAGAAUGGAGAUCUGAAUCCGACUUCGACCAACGUUGGAUCACACGCGUGCGGUGUUGGAGAAGCGUUUUCGAAACUUUUGGCCAGGGAUGGCCGACAGGGUCUUCGAAGGCGUCGCGAUCGAUUGACCUUCCUCGACUGCGUUUCCGGCCUUACCUUGCACCUGCGAGAAGGCAAAGGGCAAACGAGAUUGACAGAUUGAUAAAUAGCUCGAGAAACCAGCGUGAACAAGAGCGAUGUUAACGAGUUAAGAUACGUUCGAAAGGAUAAUGAAAUUAACAUAUUCGAUCGGGUCGAUUUUUUAUCAGAAAUUUUAAUUACACGAGAAUUAUGCGUUGAGAAUAUAGAAUAGAUCCUUUGGACAAGUUAUCGUCGAUUCGGUUUAACACGUUCGUCAUCCACAUUUGGGUGAGAAGAAAAGAGGCGUUGUUACGAAUCUCCACCGAUAAUACAGAACCGACUUGAAGUUGGUCAACCAUCAAUUAGAGGCUUACAUUCGGAAUGCUUAAGAUCGACUUUGGAAAGUUUUGGAACGGUUGAAACGGACAAAGAAGUAGAAGUAGAGGCACUGAGAGCAUAACUGAUUCAGGAUUCAAGUGGUUACAGUUUACGUUCUUACAAUCUUUCGUACAGUGACAUUUCGACCUCGGUGAGAAACACGACUGAAUCACGCUGGCUGACGAACGUUCCUCGAAAAAGGAUUAAUUAAGUGCACGUGUACACUCGAAAAGUCCCCGUUUUCCCAAAUUCCGUCCCCGUAUCGCUCGUACAUCGCGAGAGGACGUCUCGCGUACGAAAAGUUCGCGGCCCCUUAAAUUCGUAACGUGGAAUGACGUCAUUGGUGAGCGCGCGCGCAAACGUCCCUGUUUCGCGAUCCGCAAACGUCGUUUCCCGUCGAUUCGUGCCACGGGGGCACCGCCAUCGUAAAGCCAUUUCGGGGAUCUCGCGGCACAUAAAUUAUAAAAUCGACCGACGCCGGAUCGUCUGUGCAACGGCCGGCAUCUGGGACGCCGCGGAAGAAUAUUCCCCUCGCUUGUUCGAUUCCGUUUAUUACUUCAGAUUUAUACUCGAUCGAGUGCAAUGGAAACGUUCUACUCGUUUAGGAGAACUUCUCGAAACGAUUUCCACCCAUAUUUUUAUUCCUCCAGCUCGUGAACGUGACGAAACGAGAGAGUCAAAAACAAGAACUAAUAUCGCGAAGAACGAAGAAUUGCGGAGGAGGGAAGAGGAUUGUCGAGGAUGAAAGAGAAAGGUACAACACAAUCGAUCCUCGACACUCGUCACUUGCGUUCACAAUUGGAUGAACGGUCUCGUCGCAUCUUGUCUCACACUGAUACGAUUAAACGAGGAAGAAUAUGAAACGACGUCGAGUGUUUCUACUCUAAAAAAGGAUUGACACGAUAGGUGAUAUAUUUCGUCUAUUGUGGAUGAAAAAAAGAAUCCAUGGAUAUUGAGAAUGCACCGACUCCGACGAUCGAGGUGAAUUUGGCAGAAAUCCAGAACCACCGUCACCAAAAAGAAUGAAAAUCCACGACACGGCCGAUAAUCAUCGUAAACGUUGUCGAAGUCGAAUCGAGGAGGAUCGACGUCAAGAAUGAAUUAAAUAACGCGUGCGUGAAUUUUCGAUGAAGAGAAAAGGAUCUGUUUCGUAUCGUGAUCAAUCGUUCGUGCAGACCACGUUGACUCUAUCCACACAGGAGUAUAUAGCGUAAGCGUUGUUCUAUGGCUAUAAUUUGCUCGUAAAUCGAUCGAGUGUUUAACAAUGGAAAAAUGGAAUAAUGGAAAUUGAUGUAUGUCAAAGAGUUCUGAUAAAUUUGGGUAAACAAAUAGAAUAGGAAGAUACUCCGCUGGAAAUAUGUUCUUUGAUAUAAGGAUAGAAAAAAUAUUUUGAAAAUUCUAAGCUUGGAACGAUAU